rnacentral:rRNA from 1 species
UGCCCCAGUAACGGCGAGUGAAGCGGCAACAGCUCAAAUUUGAAAUCUGGCCCCCGGGUCCGAGUUGUAAUUUGCAGAGGAUGCUUCGGGCGAGGUGCCUUCCGAGUUCCCUGGAACGGGACGCCACAGAGGGUGAGAGCCCCGUCUGGUCGGACACCGAGCCCGUGUGAAGCUCCUUCGAAGAGUCGAGUAGUUUGGGAAUGCUGCUCAAAAUGGGAGGUAUAUGUCUUCUAAAGCUAAAUAUUGGCCAGAGACCGAUAGCGCACAAGUAGAGUGAUCGAAAGAUGAAAAGCACUUUGAAAAGAGGGUUAAAAAGUACGUGAAAUUGUUGAAAGGGAAGCGCCCAUGACCAGACUUGGGCCCGGUGAAUCACCCGGCGUUCUCGCCGGUGCACUUUGCCGGGCACAGGCCAGCAUCAGUUUGGCGCGGGGGACAAAGGCUUCGGGAACGUGGCUCCCUCGGGAGUGUUAUAGCCCGCUGCGUAAUACCCUGCGCCGGACUGAGGUACGCGCAUCGCAAGGAUGCUGGCGUAAUGGUCAUCAGCGACCCGUCUUGAAACACGGACCAAGGAGUCGUCUUCGUAUGCGAGUGUUCGGGUGUCAAACCCCUACGCGGAAUGAAAGUGAACGCAGGUGAGAGCUUCGGCGCAUCAUCGACCGAUCCUGAUGUUCUCGGAUGGAUUUGAGUAAGAGCAUACGGGGCCGGACCCGAAAGAAGGUGAACUAUGCCUGUAUAGGGUGAAGCCAGAGGAAACUCUGGUGGAAGCUCGCAGCGGUUCUGACGUGCGAAUCGAUCGUCAAAUAU